UUAAGUUCCAUUCAAUACGUUCAACACGAGGGCACGGUAACCGCAAGGAUUCUUGAUCCAGUCGCUCGUUGGGAAGAUGGAAUCCGGGUCCGAUGAUCCCUCGGAGCUAGCUCGCGGGCGGCGCGCCGUUCUCUCCGCCCACCUCGCCACUGACCGCUGUUCCUUUGGCUUAACUCCGGCAUUGGAGAGAUCGUCUGCCCUUUCUCUCGAGGCAUCGCGGCCGUCCGUAAACCUCGGGGAAGCUAAAAGCUACUUUACACUGAUAUCAAAUAUAUGACUGGGAGAGACUGAUAGGACCUUUGGUAGAUUAGUACCGGUACAAAUGACAAGGGACUCUAGCUAUAUGAUCCGGGUUACCUUAACACUGCGCCGGUUCGGUCUUCCAUUUGUUAUAUGGAUGGAGAUGAAGGGAUACUUCGUUACAGAGGGUAUCGAUCGAGGAGCUAGCUGAGAGGAGCACGUUCCUUGAGCCAGCUAGCAGAUUGGGAGUUUGCAAUUUCUCAGUACUCUGCUGUUCCACAGGAUGUCCUGGGUAUUAUACAAGCAAUUGCACACGACACCCACCUUGUCAGUGCAUUGAGUGCUCUUUCUCUCUUCCAUCCAGAUGCAUACCCUGCUCUCAGGGUAAGCCUUCUAUACACAUCAAGGUUAUCUGGAUAGUUCAAGAAUAAAGGUACAUGUGUGAGUGUGUGUACUUGCAUGUAUGCAGUUCUGACCACUAUAAGGCCAUUUCAAUCUAUGUAAGUGUAUUCUUUGGGUUUUUUUGGUUGUAAUGUUGAAGUUUUUCUUUGUCAUAAGCCUAGGAUGUGUAUUGUUUUCUACAAUUGAGUAUAGUUUCUUUGGAAUGCAUCUCAUCUGCUGUCAUCCAAAUCUCAUAUCUAUAUACAACUUUAUGUUUCUGGAAACGAAGUAAAAAAGAAUACUCUCUUAAGACUAGUCUGUUUCAGCUCAAAAUUAUAAAAUAGACCACUUUGUAUCUUUAUGCACUUAUGCUUAAUAUGAUACCUUCUAAAAUUAUAUUCUUAAUGAUCCCAAUUGGCAAUGUUGUUAGGUUCACAUGCAUCACUCUUUGAGCCUAGUUUGAUCCCCUGAAAAUAAUGAGGGAAGGUUUGACACUAAUAUCUGAAUGAAUGGAAAAGGCCAGUGUCAGAUGCCUUGCUAUAUGUGAGUCAAGUGCAUGAAGCAUAUGAAAUCCUAAUGAUUUGUUUUGUCUUGCAGGGUCAAGAUCUUUAUAACUCAAAGCAAGUUAGAGACAAGCAAAUUGUGCGAGUACUUGGAAAUGGAUGCCUAAUUUUUUUAUCAUGCAUUAUUUUGAUAUGCUUAUACUAUAUUAGCCUGGAUAUGUAAAAGCAUUGUGAUGACAUCCUCUAGUUUUUGCUGGCAUUACCUUCAAGUUCUGGAAGCUUAUAUUCAUUCAGUUAUAAAAAAUGAUUGUAGAAUAUUUAUAGCUUCAAGAUGGUUCAUUACUUUUCUUCUAAAUAAGACUACCUGUUUUGUUUUUGAAUCGCUAGGUACCAACAAUUGCAGCUUCAGCUUGCUUGCGGUUAGCCGGAAGGCCUCCAGUUCUCCCUUCCAACAACUUUUCAUAUUCAGAGAACUUCUUAUAUAUGUUGGACUCACUGUAAGACUGGGGUAAUCGAUCAUAUGUCCCUAACCCUCAACUCUCAAGGGUUCUUGAUAUACUUUUCAUCCUACAUGCGGAACAUGAAAUGAACUUCUCCACAGCUGCUGUCAGGCAUCUUGCUUCAAGGUACAUAGGUCCUCUCCAUGGUGGGGCUAAUGAGGUACAACAUUAGUUCUGUUGUGUCUUUGUUUUAUUGCAGUUUAUAUUUCACUGUAAAUUUAGUUAAUCUGUGAAUUCUUCAUGGUAAUCUUUUUUUUUUAAAUUUUAAAACCAGGUCUUUUUGCUUGUGAUAUAUGUUAUUUUCCUUGCCAUCUUUUUAUCCAUGGUUUAUUAGACAAUACAUGCAGCAUUAGUUAUGUUGUAUUUUUGUUUUUUUUUCACAGUUUUUUCUCUCUUAUAACCAGGUCUUUUUGUUUGUGAUGUAUGUUAUUUCCUUACUGUCUUUUUACCCAUGGUUUAUUAGACAAUUAAAUCAUUUUUUGAUCAUGGGAUUGAUUGGCCGUAGUUUUUUUCAUCAGCCUAGAUUUUUGCAAAUACUUAUGGAAUUUUGAGAAGCAAAUAGGAAACAUCUCUAAAGUUGUGUUGAAUAUCUUGUGCAUGACACGCUGUCCUUAAAAUGCUGAAUGAAAUUGGACAAGUCGAGAACAUUCCAGGGUUCAUUGAGGGUGUGAAAAACAGAAAGCGGAAAUUAUCGGGUUUUGGACAUCGUGUCUACAAAAACUAUGAUCCUUGUGCUAAGGUCAUCUGUAAGUUGGCUGAGGAAGUUUUCUCAAUUGUUGGGCAUGAUCCUUUGAUCGAGGUUUCCUUGUUAUCUUGUUAUUUCUAUGAAAUUCAGUAAUAUUCUUUAUUAAAAAUUAAAUACUCAAUAUAGUCCUUAGUGAAAUUGGUUUC